rnacentral:rRNA from 1 species
AAAACUAUUGAGGUAGUGCCUCGUGUGUCGCUCCAGGGGGUAGAGCACUGUUUUGGCUAGGGGGACAUGGAGUCUUACCAAACCAAGGCAAACUCCGAAUACCUGGAAGCGUGAGCACGGGAGACAGAGCACCGGGUGCUAACGUCCGGACUCAAAAGGGAAACAACCCAGACCGCCGGCUAAGGUCCCUAAUAUUGACUAAGUGGAAAACGAAGUGGGAAGGCUAAGACAGUCAGGAAGUUGGCUUAGAAGCAGCCAUCCUUCAAAGAAAGCGUAAUAGCUCACUGAUCGAGUCUUCCUGCGCGGAAGAUGUAACGGGGCUAAGUCAAUAACCGAAGCCGCGGAUUCGCAGCAAUGCGAGUGGUAGGGGAGCGUUCUGUAAGCCUGCGAAGGCGGAUCUGCGAGGACCGCUGGAGGUAUCAGAAGUGCGAAUGCUGACAUGAGUAACGUUAAAGCGGGUGAAAAGCCCGCUCGCCGCAAGCCCAAGGUUUCCUGCUCUACGUUCAUCGGAGCAGGGUGAGUCGGCCCCUAAGGUCAGGCUGAGAAGCGUAGCUGAUGGGAAGCUGGUUAAUAUUCCAGCACCGAUUUCAAGUGCGAAGGGGGGACGGAGUCCUGAAGGUCAUCCGGGUGUUGGAUAUCCCGGUUUACGAGCGUAGGAGGUUGACAGGCAAAUCCGUCAACGAAUCUCCAAGGCGAAGGAUCGAGGUUGAGAGAUCAACUGAAGUGACUGAAUGGGCUUCCAGGAAAAGCCUCUAAGCAUCAGCUUGGAAUUGACCGUACCGCAAACCGACACUGGUGGGCGAGCUGAAUAUGCUCAGGCGCUUGAGAGAACUCAGGAGAAGGAACUCGGCAAAUUGACCCCGUAACUUCGGGAUAAGGUGUGCCUUUGUAGUGUGAAGGGAGAAACACCCCGAGCAUGAAGAGGCCUCAGAGAAUCGGUGGCUGCAACUGUUUACUAAAAACACAGCACUCUGCAAAGAUGAAAGUCGACGUAUAGGGUGUGAUGCCUGCCCGGUGCUGGAAGAUUAAUUGAUGGGGUGCAAGCUCCUGAUCGAAGUCCCAGUAAACGGCGGCCGUAACUAUAACGGUCCUAAGGUAGCGAAAUUCCUUGUC